UACGUAGGGUGCAAGCGUUAAUCGGAAUUACUGGGCGUAAAGCGUGCGCAGGCGGUUUUUUAAGCCAGCUGUGAAAUCCCCGAGCUUAACUUUGGAACUGCAUUUGGGACUGGAAGGCUAGAGUAUGGCAGAGGGGGGGGGAAUUCCACGUGUAGCAGUGAAAUGCGUAGAGAUGGGGAGGAACACCGAUGGCGAAGGCAGCCCCCUGGGCCUAUACUGACGCUCAUGCACGAAAGCGUGGGGAGCAAACAGG
rnacentral:rRNA from 1 species